UACAGAGGGUGCGAGCGUUAAUCGGAAUUACUGGGCGUAAAGCGUGCGUAGACGGUUAUUUAAGUCGGAUGUGAAAGCCCCGGGCUCAACCUGGGAAUUGCAUUCGAGACUGAAUAGCUAGGGUGCGGUAGAGGGAAGCGGAAUUUCCGGUGUAGCGGUGAAAUGCGUAGAUAAUCGGAAGGAACAUCAGUGGCGAAAGCGGCUUCCUGGACCAGCACCGACGGUCAGGCACGAAAGCGUGGGGAGCAAACAGG
rnacentral:rRNA from 1 species